rnacentral:lncRNA from 1 species
CUGUAGGCAGACUGCGGCUGCAAAUAGACACCCCUUUGCUCCAGAACAUUUAGCAGUGUGCGAGAGAUUGUACUACUUUCAGCGCAGGUCAUAUCUACCACGAGGUAAAUAGAGCGAUGGAUUGAGUUACAUCUUUUAUUGCCGAUCACUCUGCUGAAAUGCUGGAACGGUGCCACCCUCCUUCUGGAAUAUUUUAUUUUUUGACUUAUGUGGAUGUACUAUAUUAGAUUUAUGUGAUUCAUCCCUCUUAUAUAUAUAUAAAAAAAAAUCUUAAUUUAGUGCCGACGAUGAAACAAAUUGGUGACUUUUGAGGAAGUUGGAGUCAAAACUCGGCCAUGUGACAUUGCCGUUGCAAAUGGAACGAUCGC